rnacentral:lncRNA from 1 species
AUGUUGAUUCUAAGAAGUUUCUAGAAUGAUUAAUUCAUAUUGUGCAAGCUGACUUGGUGUGCAAGUUGAGCAAAAAUGAAAGUGUAACUAAUUGCUUCUUAGGCAAGUUAGUUAGUUUGUUAAGUGUAGUUUGUUAGAAUCAGUUAGAGUUUGAUUCACCUAGGUUGUUAGAGUGUGUUAGAGUCAGUUAGGAAGUUAUUAGUUGGUUAGGGCCUAAGAGAAUCAUCAACCAUUGUGAUGAUCUAGUAUAAAUAAUAGGCUCAUAAUUAGUGAUUGUAAUCCAACUACUUUUCCCCAUUGAGGAUGAAUAAAAC